CAUGAACCAUUGCACCUGGCCACAAAGAGGCGAUAUUGUAAUACCCAAUGGAAGGAUGGGGUCAUGGACGUCAUGAAAAAGCCAGGGUAAAACUAUCCACAGUUAAUAAUGCAGAAAAACAUACUGUAGUGUGUUUGAUUUAAAAUUCCUGGGAUUUAAUGUACAAAGCUUUAGAACCAGUCCAAUCCAUGCAAGACAAAAUCAACCAGGCUGCUGUUUGGCUUUGUAAAUGGCUGAGAUGUAACUUAAGAGAGGGAAGCUUUUGAUUGUAAAUAACCUCCCAGCCUUCAUGCUGCUCUGACCUCUGACGUGGCCACUUGGCCAUUCUACAAUUUAAAUUUUACAACUGUGCUAUAAGUAAAACAUUGGCAACUAAUAUCUAAUAAUAAUAGUAACAAAGUAGAAUACACGAUCCAAGAAGAGCUGUCUUGAAAGGACAAAAGAAGACAUUGCAGCAUCCCCAUUUGCUGAGAGCCAUCACAGAAAUCAUAGGAAGCCAGCAAGAUGUCUAUUCUGAAACAUGUCUACUUGUCCUGAUACCUUUAAGCAUAAAAUGCUUCUACAUUCUCUAUGCAAGUGAAACACACCCCUAGGCAUAUACGAUGGACAGGGAAAUUUAAUUUUAUACUAGGGGAAUGAAGAGAUGGGAUAGGAAGAUAAAUGUCAAAUUGCUGCUUUGAGCUUUUUAUAGUAAUUCCUCUCUGCUCCCUUUUUGCCUUUCCUGACCUUUAGUGGACUGAGUCUUCUCCAUCAUCAUUAGAUCCUUCUGCUUUUAACACAUGUCAAUGGCUUCCUAAGUUAGGGUACAAACUCCAGGACAACAAACCCAAGAAUGUUUAUCUAGAUUACUUUUCAAAAUCCAAUAUAGGUUGAGCAUUCUAAAUCUGAAAAUCCAAAAUGCUCCACAGUUCAAAACGUUUUGAUCACCACUGACAUGACGCUCAAAGGAAAUGCCCAUUGGAGCUUUUCAGAUUUCAGAUUUUCAGGUUUGGAGUGCUCAAUCAGGUAAGUAUAAUGCAAAUAUGACAAAACUCUCCCCAUAAUAAAAGGCCAAAAAUCUGAAACACAUUGGGUCCCAAGCUUUUGAGAUACGGAAUACUCAACCUGCUGUAUAAUGAAUAGUAAAUAGCAUGCAAUGGUGUAAAAUGUAAAAGUUACUUUUGUAUGAAGACAAAAAAUGCAAUUUAUUAGAGAAGACUCAUUUGAGCUCUGAUGUUUAGCAGUUGCUCUCUCUAGAUCACAAAUUAAAUCAUGGUAUUAAAAUCAUUAUGGGGCCAGUUUCUAAGCCUUUCUAUGUGCACUUGCAUUCCUGUGUGGGUUUAAUUAACCAGUGAGAAAAGGAAAAGGUUGGAGUUCUUUACUGGUGUUUGUAUUAUCUGUUGAUUGUUUUCCUUAGUGCUUUUUCCAGUCUAGAUUUAGAAGCUUGAGAAUGAAGACCACCAUUUCCACCUCUACCACAGGCUCUUGGAGCCUCAUUGACAUUUCCGGGAGAAUAAAGAACAUACUACUGGAGAGGCUGUAGCAUUUCUUCAAUAUCUGAAUGCCAUUAUUCUAUGUUUCCAUGAUUCUAAUUCUACUCCAUGCUCUGAUGCAUGCAAUUAACUCAUUGGAAAAUGGUCUUUCUUGACAUGACUGCUGAGUAUAGAAUGUAAAAGUUUCUGAUCACAAACUUUGAUGAAUACAGGGGUGAUUUCACUUCCUCUCCUGUAUUUCUCCACAUUGUAAUUGUCAGUUAUUAUUUUUAACACAAGUAAGCUUUCGAUUUAUCCUGAUUAUAAUGAUGUUGUAGGGCUCUGUUUUGCACUUUCAUGCCUAUUUUAGGAACGGAUAGGAUAGAGACAGUUAAAUCCAGUGACAAUCACUGCAACCCUCCCAGGAGUAUUCUGGGAAGAGGUGCUAUAUAAACACAAAGCAUUCUGCAAAAAUGGUUGUAUUCACCCUCAUAACAUCUCAUGAGGUAGAUGCACUGUGAACAUUGUUAAUAUAAAGCUGCUAGUGCCACAAAUAGAGCAGAGAUUAUUUUCUCUCCCUGCAUGGGGAAUGACACCAUUUUCCUCACAUUUCUUAAGAGGAAUUAUCCAUUGGACUGCUUUGUGAAUGGCAGCCUUGCAUGUAUUUGUCUGAUUGUUCACACUUGUAACCAAAAGACUUGUUUGAGAUGAAAAGCAAUAUCCUGGGCUUAAAAGUUUAUAUGUGUACAGGUGCUUCCCACUGCAAACCAAAUUGGAAAAGGCUAACAUAGGAUGCUAAAAUAAAAAUGAGUAGAACUGUUUAUUAGAGAAGAGCAUCUGUUGAACAAUGCUAUGAACACCUGUCACCUCUGGACGAUCACGCCUUCUAAUUGCGGGUCCUUGGCAUUACUCAUCACUGCCUUAAACAUUUUAAUCAAGAUUAUACUGUAACAACAUGAAUUUUAUCUUAGCAAUAAUGAUCAGAAAUGGUAGGCAAUGUAAUUGAAUCUAUUAUCAAUCCCUGAAUGAGGAGUUGACUCUUCUGUAAGGCCAAUCCCCUUGGCAGAUCAUGUAAAAAAAUAUUACUGGGCUGCCCCAGUGAAAUGUCAGAGCAUCCCUAGAGGGCAAUUCCUGGUAGCAUCAGAAAGAGUACAUAAAGAGAUAUAAAGUACAAGCUGCUCAUAAAGCAUUAUCCAGAAGCUAUCUGAAAAGAGAAAUUCAACAAAAGGGAUAUUUUCAUUGGAA
rnacentral:lncRNA from 1 species